rnacentral:rRNA from 1 species
CGCCUUGCCAGCCCGCUCAGAAACUUAAAGGAAUUGACGGGACCCGCACAAGCGGUGGAGCAUGUGGUUUAAUUCGAUGAUACGCGAGGAACCUUACCUGGGCUCGAACGUAAGAUGACUGUAGGUGAAAGCUUACAUCUCUUCGGAGCAUUUUACGAGGUGCUGCAUGGUUGUCGUCAGCUCGUGCCGUGAGGUGUCGGGUUAAGUCCCAUAACGAGCGCAACCCCUACCUUUAGUUGCCAUCAGGUUAAGCUGGGGACUCUAAAGGAACUGCCUACGCAAGUAGUGAGGAAGGCGGGGAUGACGUCAAAUCAGCACGGCCCUUACGUCCAGGGCUACACACGUGCUACAAUGGCCGAUACAGAGGGCAGCUACCUGGUGACAGGAUGCAAAUCUCCAAAGUCGGUCUCAGUUCGGAUCGGAGUCUGCAACCCGACUCCGUGAAGUUGGAUUCGCUAGUAAUCGCGCAUCAGCCAUGGCGCGGUGAAUACGUUCCCGGGCCUU